rnacentral:rRNA from 1 species
GGAUGCGAUCAUACCAGCACUAAAGCACCGGAUCCCAUCAGAACUCCGAUGUUAAGCGUGCUUGGGCUCCGAUGUUAAGCGUGCUUGGGCGAGAGUAGUACUAGGAUUGGUGACCUCCUGGGAAGUCCUCGUGUUGCAUCCC